UGCAGUCGAACGGAUCCUUCGGGAUUAGUGGCAGACGGGUGAGUAACGCGUGGGAAGCUACCUUGUGGUAGGGAACAACAGUUGGAAACGACUGCUAAUACCCUAUGAGCCCUAUGGGGGAAAGAUUUAUCGCCAUGAGAUGUGCCCGCGUUAGAUUAGCUAGUUGGUAAGGUAAUGGCUUACCAAGGCGACGAUCUAUAGCUGGUCUGAGAGGAUGAUCAGCCACACUGGGACUGAGACACGGCCCAGACUCCUACGGGAGGCAGCAGUGGGGAAUAUUGGACAAUGGGGGCAACCCUGAUCCAGCCAUGCCGCGUGAGUGAUGACGGCCUUAGGGUUGUAAAGCUCUUUCAGCAGUGAAGAUAAUGACAUUAACUGCAGAAGAAGCCCCGGCUAACUUCGUGCCAGCAGCCGCGGUAAUACGAAGGGGGCUAGCGUUGUUCGGAAUCACUGGGCGUAAAGCGUACGUAGGCGGACUGAUCAGUCAGGGGUGAAAUCCCGGGGCUCAACCCCGGAACUGCCUUUGAUACUGUCAGUCUUGAGAUCGAGAGAGGUGAGUGGAACUCCGAGUGUAGAGGUGAAAUUCGUAGAUAUUCGGAAGAACACCAGUGGCGAAGGCGGCUCACUGGCUCGAUACUGACGCUGAGGUACG
rnacentral:rRNA from 1 species